rnacentral:rRNA from 1 species
AAGGCAGACGGCUCAGUAACACGUAGUCAAUCUAACCUAUGGACGAGGAUAACCUCGGGAAACUGAGAAUAAUACUCGAUAGAUCAUUAUGCCUGGAACGGUUUAUGGUUCAAAUGAAUUUCGCCAUAGGGUGGGACUGCGGUCUAUCAGCUUGUUGGUGAGGUAAUGGCCCACCAAGGCUAUAACAGAUACGGGCUCUGAGAGGAGAAGCCCGGAGAUGGGUACUGAGACACGGACCCAGGCCCUAUGGGGCGCAGCAGGCGAGAAAACUUUGCAAUGUGCGAAAGCACGACAAGGUUAAUCCGAGUGAUUCCUGCUAAAGGAAUCUUUUGUUAGUCAUAAUACCACUGAUGAAUAAGGGGUGGGCAAGUUCUGGUGUCAGCCGCCGCGGUAAAACCAGCACCUCAAGUGGUCAGGAGGAUUAUUGGGCCUAAAGCAUCCGUAGCCGGCUUUGUAAGUUUUCGGUUAAAUCUAUAUGCUCAACAUAUAGGCUGCCGGGAAUACUGCAAAGCUAGGGAAUGGGAGAGGUAGACGGUACUCCGUAGGAGGGGUAAAAUCCUUUGAUCUAUGGAUGACCACCUGUGGCGAAGGCGGUCUACCAGAACACGUCCGACGGUGAGGGAUGAAAGCUGGGGGAGCAAACCGGAUUAGAUACCCGGGUAGUCCCAGCUGUAAACUAUGCAAACUCAGUGAUGCAUUGGCUUGUGGCCAGUGCAGUGCCGCAGGGAAGCCGUUAAGUUUGCCGCCUGGGAAGUACGUACGCAAGUAUGAAACUUAAAGGAAUUGGCGGGGGAGCACCACAAGGGGUGAAGCCUGCGGUUCAGUUGGAGUCAACGCCAGAAAUCUUACCCGGAGAGACAGCGGAAUGAAGGUCAAGCUGAAGACUUUACCAGACAAGCUGAGAGGUGGUGCAUGGCCGUCGUCAGCUCGUGCCGUGAGAUGUCCUGUUAAGUCAGGUAACGAGCGAGAUCCCUGCCUCUAGUUGCCACCAUUACUCUCAGGAGUAGUGGGGCGAAUUAGAGGGACCGCUGCAGUUAAUGUGGAGGAAGGAAGGGGCCACGGCAGGUCAGUAUGCCCCGAAACUCUGGGGCCACACGCGGGCUGCAAUGGUAGUGACAAUGGGUCCCGAAUCCGGAAGGAGGAGGCAUCCUCAACGCUACCUCAGUUAUGACUGAGGCUGUACUCCCCUCAUGAUAUGGAUCCUA